UGAGGCCAACCUGGGUUACAUAGGGAGACUCUGUCUUUAAAAACAAAUUUAAAAAGUUGUCAACUUAACUUAUGCAAUAAUUAUCAUAGAUAGGAACUUUAUCCGGGCCACUGUAACAGCAGCUUAGUCUUCCUAAUUUUUCUCUCCACAUUUCAAGUUAUUCUCCACGUGGCAGCCAUUUUUAUUUUUCUAAAGCUGCCAUUUUCUAUCUCUAGUUAUUCCCAUGGUUCUGUACUGCUAUGGCUAAGGCUUUUCAUAUUUAUUAACAGUCACUGUCUGCAGCUUUGUCUCAGGAAUAGUAUAACAUAAUUAUUUGAGCACAGGGCAAAUGAGGUGCAUGUGUUUCUGACAAGUCCAGGAAGCUGCACCUAGCUGUUUGGAUCCAGACCCCUAUGCUGUGUUGGUGUCUCUGUCAUAGCUGUACAAUAGUUCAAAAUCUUGUCCGUUACUGAGUACUUUAUUUGACCAUUUCCUAGUAUUCUCUGUAAGGAAAGGCAGUGUCUAGGCAGGAGAAAGAUAGGGUUUGUUAAAAAUUAAUAGGGAAACUUAAUAAAAGCAGUUUCUGCCUCCACGGGUAGACUUGACAGAGAAAUUAGAAAGACAAAGGAGACAGAGAACUGGACUGAGAGAGGACCAGGUAAUACAAUUCCAAUUGUGAGAACAAUUUAUUAAGAAGAGUUAACAAAAAGCAAGGAAGCCAGAAACAUUAAAGACCAGGGAAAUCAGCUACCUUCAUCCAUCUGAUAAAAUACAAAGGAGAAAAGGGGCAGCCACCUGAGGACUCUUAUUUAGUAUGUAAUACAUGCAUACUUACCUGAGCACUCAGACACACACAUGUAUGCACAUGUAUGUAUGUUCUCACUUUUACAUGUUAUAUUAUUGCACCAGAUACACACAGGUUCUCUUUACCUAAUCAUUAAGUAUAAACUAACCUUCCUUAGCUCCUGUCCAUCUUAUCCAUCACAAAGGGACAGGAAGAAACCAAAACGCUAGAAAGAAGGUAGGCAGAGGUGCCCAGGUUAGGAUCAAAGGUAGCCAGAGAGCCAAUCAGAUGGUGACAACUUCCAGGUGCCCACAUGAGAGAUAAGAAAAUCACUAGUCCUAAAUAGAAGGUACCAGGGAUGAGAGCUCCUGGGUAUUCACCUCUGAGGCCCUUUACUCCCCCAGGGUAACUAUUUGUCUUCUUCUCUUCUUUUUCCAAAUAGACAUUUUCUCUUGUUUUACACUGUUCUGUAAUGAGCAGAAACUGGCAGUUUAUGAUCCUGGUAGUUGUGUGUUCCAGACAAGGAGUGGUGCAUACAUUCCAGCCUGCCGCAGCAGUCUCUAAACUUCAGUCCUCCAUCUUCAAUAAGAAGAUAAGUGGCUGGCCUUGAACUUGUGAUCUUCCUGCCUCAGCCUCCCUGAGUUCUGGGAUGACAAGCAUGGGUUACCACACCUGGUUAAGAGGUAUUGCGGGGAGCUAAUCCACAAGGCACCAGGAACCAUGCUAUUUGUGGGACUCAAUGGGAGGCUAGACAGCCUGAUCCACACUGCCAGGGAACCUGAGAUUUCACAGAGGAGGAAAGAAAAUUCAUCAAGGAAUUGCAGUUCAAGGUCAUCACUACUGCAGUAGAAGGUUACUGGUACAUAAAGAAAGGCUCAAGAAAUCUUCCCACAGGAGAGGUUUACUGUGCUCAAAUCUAAAAGAUAAGUUUGAGCUAGACAGAGAUUUGCAGGUAAGGAGACACAAGUAGAUGGCAAAUCUCAGGACUUUAAAGUGUAGUAUCACCAAGUAGAAUGCACAAAGGCUACUCUGUGCCUGAGAUAUGUGAAUCUUGUGACUGCAACAACUCCAUGCGGCAGACCCACUGCCAUCCUGGCAUCAGGAGGUAUGGGACUACCCGGUCUGAGGUUGUUGAGGUGGACUUCAUUGAGGUCAAGCCAACAACUAGAAAUCAAAAGGACCUGCUAGUCCUGAUUUGCACCUACUCAGGUUGGCUGGAGGCUGCCCGACUAGGACUGAAACUUUGAGAGAGUUAAGCACAGCUUAAAUGUGCCUUUUGACAAGAUUGUCAACAUUGCUCGACAGAUGCAACACCAGUCUUUAGCCAGAAAACUUUCCAGAAUCAUUAAAGAGAUCCUCGGGACUGCCUCGUCUCUGGGCUUCAGUGUUGCUGGUCAUUACCCUCAUGACAUCUUGCAUGACAGCAGUGGUGCGGUGGAAUGCCCAGCUACCUAAGAAGCAUAAGAAAAUAUUUAAAU